GGUCAAGCUACAAAGGGC
rnacentral:rRNA from 1 species